rnacentral:rRNA from 1 species
AACGAACGCUGGCGGCAGGCCUAACACAUGCAAGUCGAGCGAGGACUUCGGGUCUUUCGGCGGACGGGUGUGUAACGCGUGGGAAUGUGCCCUUCUCUACGGAAUACCCCUGGGAAACUGGGAGUAAUACCGUAUACGCCCUAUUGGGGAAAGAUUUAUCGGAGAAGGAUCUGCCCGCGUUGGAUUAGGUAGUUGGUGGGGUUAUGGCCUACCAAGCCGACGAUCCAUAGCUUGUUUGAGAGGAUGAUCAGCCACACUGGGACUGAGACACGGCCCAGACUCCUACGGGAGGCAGCAGUGGGGAAUCUUAGACAAUGGGGGCAACCCUGAUCUAGCCAUGCCGCGUGAGUGAUGAAGGCCGUAGGGUUGUAAAGCUCUUUCAGCUGGGAAGAUAAUGACGGUACCAGCAGAAGAAGCCCCGGCUAACUCCGUG